GUCUACGGCCAUACCAGCCUGAACGCACCCGAUCUUGUCUGAUCUCAGAAGCCAAGCAGGGUUGGGCCUGGUUAGUACUUGGAUGGGAGAGAUAAGUCAAGCGGAGAUAGGGAAGCUGGUGAAU
rnacentral:rRNA from 1 species